UAUGUGAUCGUCUCUCGCAUAUCAAUAAGCGGAGGAAAAGAAACUAACAAGGAUUCCCCUAGUAACGGCGAGUGAAGCGGGAAGAGCUCAAAUUUGAAAUCUUAAAGGGUUUCCCUUUACGAAUUGUAGUUUAAAGAAGUGUUUUCUGUUGAGGUUUUGGUAAAAGUUCUUUGGAAUAGGACAUCAUAGAGGGUGAGAAUCCCGUAUUUGACCUCUACUUUCAACUUUGUGAUACACUUUCAAAGAGUCGGAUUGUUUGGGAAUGCAGUCCAAAAUGGGUGGUAAAUUUCAUCUAAAGCUAAAUAUUGGCGAGAGACCGAUAGCGAACAAGUACCGUGAGGGAAAGAUGAAAAGAACUUUGAAAAGAGAGUUAAACAGUACGUGAAAUUGUCAAAAGGGAGGCGUUUGACACCAGUGUUGUUUUUCUGAAAAUCAAUUAAAGAACUGUUUAUGCUAAGCUGUUUAGACUUUAUCAGCUAUCUGUUUAGUUUUGAGCUUUUCUUUAAUGCACUUUUCAGUUAACAAGUCAACAUCAAUUUCUUUUGCUGUAAAAAAGCUUGAGGAAGGUGGCUUGAGAUUCGUCUUAAGUGUUUAUAGCCUCUUGCCUAUGCAGUCGGAGAGAUUGAGGUCUGCAGCGUAGAUCCUUCGGGGCUAAAUGCAUUUGUGCUAAGUUAUAGCAUUUUAUAGACAACUUGUUGACUAUGAUUUGUCUUGUAGCUUACUCGCUUAUGUUAUUUUACCUACGCUUAGGAUGUUGAGUAGCGACAUACGCAC
rnacentral:rRNA from 1 species